rfam:Alligator mississippiensis ScZkoYb_146, whole genome shotgun sequence.
GGUUCCAUAGUGUAGUGAUCAUCACAUCUAUUUUACAUGCAGAAGGUCCUGGGUUCAAGCCCCAGUGGGAUCA